rnacentral:rRNA from 1 species
AUUGAACGCUGGCGGCAGGCCUAACACAUGCAAGUCGAACGAGUGGCGGACGGGUGAGUAAUGUCUGGGAAACUGCCUGAUGGAGGGGGAUAACUACUGGAAACGGUAGCUAAUACCGCAUACCAUCAGAUGUGCCCCGAUGGGAUUAGCUUGUUGGGGGGGUAACGGAUCACCAAGGCGACGAUCCCUAGCUGGUCUGCGAGGAUGACCAGCCACACUGGAACCGAGACACGGUUCAGAAGCCUACGGGAGGCAGGAGUGGGGAAUAUUGCACGAGGGGCGCAAGCCCGAUGCAGCCAUGCCGGGAUGAUGAAGAAGGCCAUCGGGUUGUAAAGUACUUUCAGCGGGGAGGCGUUACCCGAAGAAGAAGCACCGGCUAACUCCGUGCCAGCAGCCGCGGUAAUAC